UACAGAGGUCUCAAGCGUUGUUCGGAUUCAUUGGGCGUAAAGGGUGCGUAGGCGGACAGGUAAGUCAGUGGUGAAAUCCCCGAGCUCAACUUGGGAACUGCCGUUGAUACUAUCUGUCUUGAAUACCGUGGAGGUGAGCGGAAUAUGUCAUGUAGCGGUGAAAUGCUUAGAUAUGACAUAGAACACCGAUUGCGAAGGCAGCUCACUACGCGGUCAUUGACGCUGAGGCACGAAAGCGUGGGGAGCAAACAGG
rnacentral:rRNA from 1 species